rnacentral:rRNA from 1 species
UACGUAGGGUGCGAGCGUUGUCCGGAAUUACUGGGCGUAAAGAGCUCGUAGGUGGUUUGUCGCGUUGUUCGUGAAAACUCACAGCUCAACUGUGGGCGUGCGGGCGGAUACGGGCAGACUAGAGUACUGCAGGGGAGACUGGAAUUCCUGGUGUAGCGGUGGAAUGCGCAGAUAUCAGGAGGAACACCGGUGGCGAAGGCGGGUCUCUGGGCAGUAACUGACGCUGGAGGAGCGAAAAGCCGUGGGGGAGCGAACAGG